GAGUUUGAUCCUGGCUCAGGACGAACGCUGGCGGCGUGCUUAACACAUGCAAGUCGAACGAGGUGCAGAUGGAAGCUUGCUUUUGUCUGUACCGAGUGGCGAACGGGUGAGUAACGCGUGAGGAACCUGUCUCAUACAGGGGGAUAACAGCUGGAAACAGCUGCUAAUACCGCAUAAGACCACAGCACCGCAUGGUGGAGAGGUCAAAGGAGCAAUCCGGUAUGAGGUGGACCCCGCGUCCGAUUAGAUAGUUGGUGAGGUAACGGCCCACCAAGUCAACGAUCGGUAGCCGACCUGAGAGGGUGAUCGGCCACAUUGGAACUGAGAUACGGUCCAGACUCCUACGGGAGGCAGCA
rnacentral:rRNA from 1 species